rnacentral:rRNA from 1 species
GACGAACGCUGGCGGCGUGCUUAACACUUGCAAGUCGAACGGAAAUGCCCUGCUUUUGUGGGGUGCUCGAGUGGCGAACGGGUGAGUAACACGUUAGUAACCUGCCCUUGACUUUGGGAUAACUUCAGGAAACUGGGUCUAAUACCGGAUAGGAGCUCCUGCUGCAUGGUGGGGGUUGGAAAGUUUCGGCGGUUGGGGAUGGACUCGCGGCUUAUCAGCUUGUUGGUGGGGUAGUGGCUUACCAAGGCUUUGACGGAUAGCCGGCCUGAGAGGGUGACCGGCCACAUUGGGACUGAGGUACGGCCCAGACUCAUACGGGAGGCAGAAGUGGGGAAUAUUGCACAAUGGGCGGAAGCCUGAUGCAGCAACGCCGCGUGCGGGAUGACGGCCUUCGGGUUGUAAACCGCUUUCGCCUGUGACGAAGCGUGAGUGACGGUAAUGGGUAAAGAAGCACCGGCUAAAUACGUG